rnacentral:rRNA from 1 species
CCUACGGGAGGCUGCAGUGGGGAAUAUUGGACAAUGGGGGCAACCCUGAUCCAGCCAUGCCGCGUGUGUGAAGAAGGCCCUCGGGUUGUAAAGCACUUUCAGUGAGGAAGAACGCCUGGUGGUUAAUACCCAUCAGGAAAGACAUCACUCACAGAAGAAGCACCGGCUAACUCCGUGCCAGCAGCCGCGGUAAUACGGAGGGUGCGAGCGUUAAUCGGAAUUACUGGGCGUAAAGCGCGCGUAGGUGGCUUGAUAAGCCGGUUGUGAAAGCCCCGGGCUCAAUCUGGGAACGGCAUCCGGAACUGUCAAGCUAGAGUGCAGGAGAGGAAGGUAGAAUUCCCGGUGUAGCGGUGAAAUGCGUAGAGAUCGGGAGGAAUACCAGUGGCGAAGGCGGCCUUCUGGACUGACACUGACACUGAGGUGCGAAAGCGUGGGUAGCAAACAGGAUUAGAUACCCCUGUAGUC